rnacentral:rRNA from 1 species
AGGACGAACGCUGGCGGCGUGCCUAACACAUGCAAGUCGAGCGGGGACAUACGACGGAGUCAAAGUUUCGGAUGGAGACGAAGAUGUAUGUUCUAGCGGCGGACGGGUGAGUAACGCGUGAGCAACCUGUCCCUUACAGGGGGAUAACACAGCGAAAGUUGUACUAAUACCGCAUGAGACCACGGGGAGACAUCUUCCAGGGGUCAAAGGAGCAAUCCGGUAAGGGGUGGGCUCGCGUCCGAUUAGAUAGUUGGUGAGGUAACGGCCCACCAAGUCGACGAUCGGUAGCCGACCUGAGAGGGUGAUCGGCCACAUUGGGACUGAGACACGGCCCAAACUCCUACGGGAGGCAGCAGUGGGGAAUAUUGGGCAAUGGGGGGAAACCCUGACCCAGCAACGCCGCGUGAGGGAAGAAGGUUUUCGGAUCGUAAACCUCUGUCCUUGGUGAAGAGGAAGAGACGGUAGCCAAGGAGGAAGCCCCGGCUAACUACGUGCCAGCCGCUGC